rnacentral:rRNA from 1 species
AUUGAACGCUGGCGGCAGGCCUAACACAUGCAAGUAGAGCGAGAGGCGGACGGGUGAGUAAUGUAUGGGGACUGCCCGAUAGAGGGGGAUAACUACUGGAAACGGUAGCUAAUACCGCAUACUAUCGGAUAACACAUAUGGGAUUAGCUAGUAGGUGAGGUAAUGGCUCACCUAGGCGAAGAUACCUAGCUGGUCUGAGAGGAUGAUCAGCCAUACUGGGGCUUAGACACUGCCCAGACUCCUACGGAGGCAGCAGUGGGGAAUAUUGCACAAUGGGCGCAAGCCUGAUGCAGCGACGCCGCGUGGGGGAUGAAGGCUUUCGGGUUGUAAACCUCUUUCGCUAUCGAACGGGUAGGUGGAGAAGAAGCGCCGGCUAACUACGUGCCAGCAGCCGCGGUAAUUC